rnacentral:rRNA from 1 species
AGUCGAGCGACGCGCCUUCGGGUGACGGAGCGGCGAACGGGUGAGUAACACGUGGGCAACCUGCCCUCAGCUCUGGGACAACUCCGGGAAACCGGGGCUAAUACCGGAUACGACUUUCGACCUCAUGGUCGUUGGUGGAAAGUUUUUCGGCUGAGGAUGGGCCCGCGGCCUAUCAGCUUGUUGGUGGGGUAAUGGCCUACCAAGGCGACGACGGGUAGCCGGCCUGAGAGGGCGACCGGCCACACUGGGACUGAGACACGGCCCAGACUCCUACGGGAGGCAGCAGUGGGGAAUAUUGCGCAAUGGGCGAAAGCCUGACGCAGCGACGCCGCGUGAGGGAUGAAGGCCUUCGGGUUGUAAACCUCUUUCAGCAGGGACGAAGCGAAAGUGACGGUACCUGCAGAAGAAGCACCGGCCAACUACGUGCCAGCAGCCGCGGUAAUACGUAGGGUGCAAGCGUUGUCCGGAAUUAUUGGGCGUAAAGAGCUCGUAGGCGGUCUGUCGCGUCGGCUGUGAAAUCUCGGGGCUCAACCCCGAGCCUGCAGUCGAUACGGGCAGACUAGAGUGCUGUAGGGGAGACUGGAAUUCCUGGUGUAGCGGUGAAAUGCGCAGAUAUCAGGAGGAACACCGGUGGCGAAGGCGGGUCUCUGGGCAGUAACUGACGCUGAGGAGCGAAAGCGUGGGGAGCGAACAGGAUUAGAUACCCUGG